rnacentral:rRNA from 1 species
CGGUGCGAUCAUACCAGAACUAAUGCACUGGAUCCCAUCAGAACUCCUCAGUUAAGCGUGCUUGGGCGAGAGUUGUACUAGGAUGGGUGACCUCUUGGGAAGUCCUCGUGUUGCACCUC